CCGGAAACGGCGACUAAUACCGCAUGAGCUUGUUCUUGGGGACGAGGACAAGGAAAGGUUUUCGGACCGGGGUUGGAGGGGGCUGCGGCCGAUUAGCUUGUUGGUGGGGUAACGGCCUACCAAGGCGGUGAUCGGUAGCUGGUCUGAGAGGACGGCCAGCCACACGGGGACUGAGACACGGCCCCGACUCCUACGGGAGGCAGCAGCAAGGAAUUUUCUGCAAUGGGCGCAAGCCUGACAGAGCAACGCCGCGUGGGGGAUGACGCGCUUCGGUGUGUAAACCCCUUUUCCCUGGGACGAAGCAAGUGACGGUACCAGGGGAAGAAGGACCGGCUAACUGCGUGCCAGCAGCCGCGGUAACACGUAGGGUCCGAGCGUUGUCCGGAAUUACUGGGCGUAAAGCGCGCGCAGGCGGUCUGGUCAGUCGAUGGUGAAAGCCCCACGCUCAACGUGGGAAGGUCCGUCGAGACGGCCAGACUGGAGGCAGGGAGAGGUCGGUGGAAUUCCGGGUGUAGUGGUGAAAUGCGUAGAGAUCCGGAGGAACACCAGAGGCGAAGGCGGCCGACUGGACCUGACCUGACGCUGAGGCGCGAAGGCGUGGGGAGCGAACGGGAUUAGAUACCCCGGUAGUCCACGCGGUAAACGAUGUGUACUGGGUAUGGCGGGAGUUGACCCCUGCCGUGCCGGCGCUAACGCAGUAAGUACACCGCCUGGGGAGUACGGCCGCAAGGCUAAAACUCAAAGGAAUUGACGGGGCCCCGCACAAGCAGCGGAGCGUGUGGUUUAAUUCGACGCAACGCGCAAAACCUU
rnacentral:rRNA from 1 species